GAUGAACGCUAGCGGCAGGCCUAAUACAUGCAAGUCGAGGGGUAACAUGACGCUUCGGUGUUGAUGACGACCGGCGAACGGGUGCGUAACGCGUAUGCAAUCUACCCACAGCAGAGGGAUAGCCCGUGGAAACAUGGAUUAAUACCUCAUAAUACAGGGGGCCCACAUGGGCAUAUUGUUAAAGCUUCGGUGGCUGUGGAUGAGCAUGCGUCCCAUUAGUUAGUUGGUAAGGUAACGGCUUACCAAGACGAUGAUGGGUAGGGUUCUGAGAGGAUGAUCCCCCACACUGGUACUGAGAUACGGACCAGACUCCUACGGGAGGCAGCAGUAGGGAAUAUGGUCAAUGGACGGAGUCUGAACCAGCCAUGCCGCGUGCAGG
rnacentral:rRNA from 1 species